rnacentral:lncRNA from 1 species
UACUUUCCUAUAUGAAAAUAAAAUGUAAGUAUCACAAUUACACACAUACAAGUUUUUUUUUUUAAUUCAGUUUCAUAAUUACCAAUUUUUAGUGAAUAAUCCUGAAAUUUAUGAAAAUACAUACAUUUUAAGGUUAUGUCAUAAUGUUUUGAUUGUUAUAUUUGAUUUUGUUUUUGUUAUUUUAGUGGACUACACCAACAAAGGUUAUGUGUUUUGCACCAGAUUGAAAGCAUCAUAGCGAAAAACGGACCUGUCAUAUCUUUAAAUUUUCAAAAGAGCCCCUGGAAAAAGAAAAAUGAAUAUCUUUGCCAAGGAAUAGGCAAAUGGAUAAAAAACCUUCAGUCCAUGCAUUGGUAUGUAAUUGUUGACAAAAAUACAAUGAAUGGCCUCACUACUUUUCCACAUGCAAAGAGGUUAACCAAGGAGAAAUUAAAGAAAUUGUCAAAAACCUAGGUAAAUACAGAAUUGCUUAGUACAAACAUAUCUAUACCCAGUACAAGUUCGUCCACUUCUUUGAAGCAUGGUACUUCAAACAGAGACACUGUCAACAAUUUUGUAGAAGGUGAGCCGGUGUCAAAUUCCAGUAAGGGACAUGAUUUCAAUUUUGCACCAACAGCAGAGCUAAAAUUCAUUUUGCCGCAAAAAACUGGAGGAUGUGAAAGAAAAAAGUGCAGAAGUUAAAAUUAAGUUUUUCAUAUGAGCACAUAAAAAAUAAUCAUGACAAAGUUCAGUUGUAUACAGGUUUGACAUGUAAUAAAUAUUUUUGUAAUCUUAUUAAGUUAAUUAGUUUUAUAUAUUAUUUAAAUAAUAAUUGUAUACUUCACAUAGAAUAUGCAGAAAUUAUAUGUACAUAUAUAAAUUUUUUUAUUAAGAUAAGGACAACAUGUAUUAAAGCAUAACACAUAAUAUAAACACACACGUAAUAUCUUCAUUAAAAAUUAUGAUUGUAUGUUAUGUAGCAUUAGAGCCUAAAAACAUUAAGGAGAAUAAAGGUCGUUAUUGGCAAA